rnacentral:misc_RNA from 1 species
AAAUAUUAAGACUUUGUCUUUUGUUGAUAUUCUCACGUUAGUGAUUUAUCUAAAUAUUUUGGCGUAUUUUAAUAGCUUCAAAAAACGCAGUGAAAAUGUGUUUAUUGACUAUUAUGAACUGCCUUGUUACUCUUUUAUAA